rnacentral:rRNA from 1 species
CCUACGGGAGGCAGCAGUGAGGAAUAUUGGUCAAUGGGCGCGAGCCUGAACCAGCCAAGUAGCGUGAAGGAUGACUGCCCUACGGGUUGUAAACUUCUUUUAUAAAGGAAUAAAGUGAGGCACGUGUGCCUUUUUGUAUGUACUUUAUGAAUAAGGAUCGGCUAACUCCGGGCCAGCAGCCGCGGUAAUACGGAGGAUCCGAGCGUUAUCCGGGUUUAUUGGGUUUAAAGGGAGCGUAGAUGGGUUGUUAAGUCCGUUGUGAAAGUUUGCGGCUCAACCGUGAAAUUGCAAUUGAUACUGGCAGCCUUGAGUGCAGUUGAGGUAGGCGGAAUUCGUGGUGUAGCGGUGAAAUGCUUAGAUAUCACGAAGAACUCCGAUUGCGAAGGCAGCUUACUAAACUGCCACUGACAUUGAUGCUCGAAAGUGUGGGUAUCAAACAGGAUUAGAUACCCGAGUAGUC